rfam:Oryza nivara chromosome 4, whole genome shotgun sequence.
AAAAAAGGCAAACCUGAAUUUUCGUCUCCAACUUUAACUGUCCGUCUCAUAUAAAAUUUUUUUAUGAUUCGUAUUUUCAUUGUUGUUAGAUGAUAAAACAUGAUUAAUAUUUUAUGUGUGAUUUGUCUUUUUAAUUUUUUCAUAAUUUUUUCAAAUAAGACGGACGGUCAAAUGUUGGGCACGGAAAGCAGGGUUUGUCUUUUC